GUGCGAUAGUAAUCCUUGUUCAGUACGAGAGGAACCGCGGGAUCAGACAUUGGUUCAUGCGCUCGGUGAAAGGCCGGUGGGCGGGAAGGCUAGCAUCUGCAAGAUUAUGACUGAACGCCUUUAAGUCAGAAUCUUUUCUAGUCAUUGGCAACGAUAAGUUGCGUCCAGACUCGAUGCGAGGAAACGAUUAGGCUUUGCUGCUAUACGGCGAAGCCAUUAUCAGACCACGGUAGCAGGCAGUAUGGGAUUGUUACGAAGAAGCAAUUUUUUGAAGUCAGUUGAAUUCAAUGAAACUGCUAACAAUUCCACUGCGAAUGACUCCAUUCGAAUCAAUCGAAGCACAGCGGUCAGGAUGUCGAACAUUUUGCAGACGACAAAAAUACCGGUUCAGGUGUCGUAAUCAGUAGAGCAGUCAACAAAAAACCAACAAAAUAGACUCAUCCUCGUAAUCGAUUAUUUCAU
rnacentral:ncRNA from 1 species